UUCACAAAAACCCACACAUAUACAUAUGUAUGUGUCAGACUAAACAUACGUAUACAUAGUUACAUACAUAUACAUAUAUGAAUCUGCUCAUGUUCACUUCUUAAUUGAUGCAUAAGUGCUUGCUUGCUACACAUCACCAGAUAUAAUAUGAGAUCUACAAGCCUCCUCUCUUUGCUGUUCCUCAUCCUCAUCUUAUCUCAUGUGAAUCUUAAUGCCAAACCGGACAAGGGAUCUAUGAACUCUGUCCAUUUGAUUAAUGAGGAGUCAUGUGGGAAGACGAUGAAGGGUCAUCAGCAAGGCAGUGAAAAUAAGUCAGACAAGGGCGGUUUUGAGGAUGAGGACUACAUCUAUACUCAAUCAGUCCCUUAGAUUGAUCAUAGGCAGCCAAUGCAAAUUACCUUCCCAUUAUCUAUCUCUUAGACUUAUUUUGAACCAUGAUCUUAUGAAUGAUUGUAACUAUAUGUUGUAGAUUCAUGAAUUUAAAAAGUUCUAUGUAACAAAUCUUUUUUGAGCA